GCUGUGAGCUCGAUGAGUAGGGCGGGACACGUGGUAUCCUGUCUGAAUAUGGGGGGACCAUCCUCCAAGGCUAAAUACUCCUGACUGACCGAUAGUGAACCAGUACCGUGAGGGAAAGGCGAAAAGAACCCCGGCGAGGGGAGUGAAAAAGAACCUGAAACCGUGUACGUACAAGCAGUGGGAGCACGCUUAGGCGUGUGACUGCGUACCUUUUGUAUAAUGGGUCAGCGACUUAUAUUCUGUAGCAAGGUUAACCGAAUAGGGGAGCCGAAGGGAAACCGAGUCUUAACUGGGCGUUAAGUUGCAGGGUAUAGACCCGAAACCCGGUGAUCUAGCCAUGGGCAGGUUGAAGGUUGGGUAACACUAACUGGAGGACCGAACCGACUAAUGUUGAAAAAUUAGCGGAUGACUUGUGGCUGGGGGUGAAAGGCCAAUCAAACCGGGAGAUAGCUGGUUCUCCCCGAAAGCUAUUUAGGUAGCGCCUCGUGAAUUCAUCUCCGGGGGUAGAGCACUGUUUCGGCAAGGGGGUCAUCCCGACUUACCAACCCGAUGCAAACUGCGAAUACCGGAGAAUGUUAUCACGGGAGACACACGGCGGGUGCUAACGUCCGUCGUGAAGAGGGAAACAACCCAGACCGCCAGCUAAGGUCCCAAAGUCAUGGUUAAGUGGGAAACGAUGUGGGAAGGCCCAGACAGCCAGGAUGUUGGCUUAGAAGCAGCCAUCAUUUAAAGAAAGCGUAAUAGCUCACUGGUCGAGUCGGCCUGCGCGGAAGAUGUAACGGGGCUAAACCAUGCACCGAAGCUGCGGCAGCGACGCUGAUGCGUUGUUGGGUAGGGGAGCGUUCUGUAAGCCUGCGAAGGUGUGCUGUGAGGCAUGCUGGAGGUAUCAGAAGUGCGAAUGCUGACAUAAGUAACGAUAAAGCGGGUGAAAAGCCCGCUCGCCGGAAGACCAAGGGUUCCUGUCCAACGUUAAUCGGGGCAGGGUGAGUCGACCCCUAAGGCGAGGCCGAAAGGCGUAGUCGAUGGGAAACAGGUUAAUAUUCCUGUACUUGGUGUUACUGCGAAGGGGGGACGGAGAAGGCUAUGUUGGCCGGGCGACGGUUGUCCCGGUUUAAGCGUGUAGGCUGGUUUUCCAGGCAAAUCCGGAAAAUCAAGGCUGAGGCGUGAUGACGAGGCACUACGGUGCUGAAGCAACAAAUGCCCUGCUUCCAGGAAAAGCCUCUAAGCAUCAGGUAACAUCAAAUCGUACCCCAAACCGACACAGGUGGUCAGGUAGAGAAUACCAAGGCGCUUGAGAGAACUCGGGUGAAGGAACUAGGCAAAAUGGUGCCGUAACUUCGGGAGAAGGCACGCUGAUAUGUAGGUGAAGUCCCUCGCGGAUGGAGCUGAAAUCAGUCGAAGAUACCAGCUGGCUGCAACUGUUUAUUAAAAACACAGCACUGUGCAAACACGAAAGUGGACGUAUACGGUGUGACGCCUGCCCGGUGC
rnacentral:rRNA from 1 species